UGGGUAAUAUUGCACAAUGGCGGAAACCCUGAUGCAGCGACGCCGCGUGAACGAAGAAGGUAUUCGUAUCGUAAAGUUCUGUCCUAUGGGAAGAUAAUGACAGUACCAUAGAAGAAAGCUCCGGCUAAAUACGUGCCAGCAGCCGCGGUAAUACGUAUGGAGCGAGCGUUGUCCGGAAUUAUUGGGCGUAAAGGGUACGCAGGCGGUUUAAUAAGUCGAAUGUUAAAGAUCGGGGCUCAACCCCGCAAAGCAUUGGAAACUGAUAAACUUGAGUAGUGGAGAGGAAAGUGGAAUUCCUAGUGUAGUGGUGAAAUACGUAGAUAUUAGGAGGAAUACCAGUAGCGAAGGCGACUUUCUGGACACAAACUGACGCUGAGGUACGAAAGCGUGGGGAGCAAACAGG
rnacentral:rRNA from 1 species